CCGCGUUGGUGAGGAACCACUUGUGCGGGUUCAUGCUCACCGAGUCGGCGAGCUCGGCGCCAUCGAGAGUGCCCUGGAACUCAGGGCAGAUGGCCGCGCUGCCGGCGUACGCCGCGUCCACGUGCAGCCACAUGCCGUGUCGCCGCGCCUCCUCUCCGAGCUCGCGCACGGGGUCGACCGCGCCGAGCCCCGUGGUGCCCACCGUGGCGCAGAGGUACAGCGGCACCAGGCCGCGUGCGACGUCGCGAUCGACCGCGGCGCGGACGUCGUCGGCCGUCAGGCCGUACCCGGAGGCCGACGUCGUCC
rnacentral:misc_RNA from 1 species